rnacentral:rRNA from 1 species
UACGGAGGAUGCAAGCGUUAUCCGGAAUGAUUGGGCGUAAAGGGUCCGCAGGUGGCAGUGUAAGUCUGCUGUCAAAGAAUGAGGCUUAACCUCAUCAAGGCAGUGGAAACUACACAGCUAGAGUACGGUCGGGGUAGAAGGAAUUCCUGGUGUAGCGGUGAAAUGCGUAGAGAUCAGGAAGAACACCGGUGGCGAAAGCGACUACCUGGCCUGUUCUUGACGCUGAGGCGCGAAAGCUAGGGGAGCGAACGGG